AUACGGAGGGGGCUAGCGUUGUUCGGAAUUACUGGGCGUAAAGCGUACGUAGGCGGACUGAUCAGUUGGGGGUGAAAUCCCAGGGCUUAACCCUGGAACUGCCUUCAAUACUGUCAGUCUUGAGUUUGGGAGAGGUGAGUGGAAUUCCUAGUGUAGAGGUGAAAUUCAUAGAUAUUAGGAGGAACACCAGUGGCGAAGGCGGCUCACUGGCCCAUUACUGACGCUGAGGUACGAAAGCGUGGGGAGCAAACAGGAUUAGAAACCCGAGUAGUCC
rnacentral:rRNA from 1 species